ACGAACGCUGGCGGCGUGCUUAACCCAUGCCAGUCGAACGGAAAGGCCCUGCUUUUGUGGGGUGCUCGAGUGGCGAACGGGUGAGUAACACGUGAGUAACCUGCCCUUGACUUUGGGAUAACUUCAGGAAACUGGGGCUAAUACCGGAUAGGAGCUCCUGCUGCAUGGUGGGGGUUGGAAAGUUUCGGCGGUUGGGGAUAGACUCGCGGCUUAUCAGCUUGUUGGUGGGGUAGUGGCUUACCAAGGCUUUGACGGGUAGCCGGCCUGAGAGGGUGACCGGCCACAUUGGGACUGAGAUACGGCCCAGACUCCUACGGGAGGCAGCAGUGGGGAAUAUUGCACAAUGGGCGGAAGCCUGAUGCAGCAACGCCGCGUGCGGGAUGACGGCCUUCGGGUUGUAAACCGCUUUCGCCUGUGACGAAGCGUGAGUGACGGUAAUGGGUAAAGAAGCACCGGCUAACUACGUG
rnacentral:rRNA from 1 species